UGCAGGUUCAAGCUAGCAUGAACAACUUAGUAAGACCCUGCCUCAAAAAAAAAAAAAGGGGGUGUUGGGACAUAGCUCAGCGUGGAAGCCCUAGGUUUAAGCCUCAGUGUCACGAAAACAACAACAACAAAAUUCACCAUAUAUUUUGAUCAGGUGUAUGCUGAUUGCAUACACCUUGCAUCUGGUGUAUGCUGAUUUAACAGGGCUUAGGGCCAACUAUAGGACUCCUGGAGAGUUGGACUCUCCUGAAGAGCUUAAACCAUAAAUUCUAUAGCCAACAAAAGUCUGAUCAGCAGCCACUGUAAAACACACUGAAACUGGAAAAUGAGAUUAGACAGCAUCAGAGAAAGGGGGAUAAACAGGCUGUCUGGGGUGUAGCUCAGUGAUCUUGUUUGUUUGUUUGUUUUAGGUUUGGGUCUCGCUAAGCAGUUCAGGCUGGCAUUGAACUCACUUUAUAGCCCAGGAUGGCCUUGAACUGGCAGCAAUCCUCCUGCCUCAGCCUACCAAGUACUGGGAUUAUAGGCAUGAGCCACUACGCCCAGGAUCUGAACUACCUUCUGUGCCUCAUGCCAUCCUGCUUAGUUCUGUAAAAAUCAGACACAGUCUUCCAGUUUGAGGCACUAAAACCCAACAAGUGAAACAACCAAAUUCAAAAAUGGCUAACAAGUCCUCUCUAGGCUGUGUUAGCACCCUCUGCUUGGGGACACUACAGAGAGAGGCACAGUUCAAUGUGUGGUCACACCGUUUUCACUGUUGCCUCUUCUCACUGACUACGCUUCCUGGAGAGCAGCUUGGUUACCUGUCACCUUCUUCCCCAGUGCCCAGGGCUGUGCCCUGUGCUGUGCUCUGUGCUUGACAAGUGAAUGGGAUAGGUGUUAGUGAAAUGGACAGAAGGGUGGGCUUGAAGGUCCAGGUUCCCCCAGCAGGGCCUCCCAGUUUGGCACUAGGAAACAUGCUCUACUGUCUAGGACCCAGCAUUAACCUUGACGGAUAAAGGAGAUUAACAGGAGCUACUAGCUUCCUAACAGGCUGACAGUCUCAGAGGAAAAAGAAAAUCAGUUUGAGACACAGAUACAUCUUGGGAACCUGGCUCUGACUGCUGGAGGCGGAGACAAGUCUGUGUCCAGGUCAGAGGGUGCAGGAGCUUCCAGGGUUCCAUCCUGGGCUACAUAUCUCAGUGAAGUCACAGGAAGUUCUGAAUCUAAUCCCAUAUCAAUAGAAACUAUCACUAUAAAUAAUCUACUUUCUGGAGCCUGAAGAUAAUACAAGCGUAAGCAACACUGAAAUUAGUCUUCUUCCCUGGUAAAAAACAGUCUCCAAAGCUUUAAUUAUUCAUGUUCUAGAAGCUUAAAGCAUUAAACUUAUAAUGACUGCACUUUCCCAUAGAGACAAUGUCAAGCUCUCAAGUCAGCAGCUCACAAAAGACAAUUUAAAUCCUUCAUGUUACUGAGGUGUGGUAGCAGGGAAAAGCCCCGCAGCUACAUCUUACUACAACUCAUGCUGUUUCUACAACAAAAUGUAGUUCUCUGUCAGGAUGACAGGACCCCAUCUAGCACAACUUCCUCGGCAGAGAGAAACACAAUUCUCCGAGAUGGCAGCGGACGUCAGUCAUACCACACCCCAACUUUCAUCACAUGGACUUUGGCACUGAAGACAAAACCUGCUGGGCCACAAAACACAGAGGUUCGCACUCCACUGUCUAUCACACCCUCCCAUCUGCCCUAACAUGAUUGCACAGCAAAACUCUAGCCAGGAAGAAAAAUGCACAGUCACAGUAACUGUAUUAGACAAUUAGGAGGUGUACUGCAUAUCACUCAAGUCUUUUUUUUUUUUGGUCUUUUUUUUGAGACGGGGUCUCGCUAUGCAGUUCAGGCUGGCCUUGAGCUCACUUUGUAUCCCAGGCUGGUCUCAAACUCCAAACGAUCCUCCCAAGUGCUGGGAUUACAGGUGUGAGCCACCACACCCGGCUAUAACACUCAAAUCUUAAAAAAGGAUUCCAAAUCACUGACAAGUGAACAAGUCUACUGAAUAAAAAACUAAACACUGGGAGGAAGAGAAAAGUCAGCACCUCCAGAGAAUCAGCAAUGCUAGCUGUGAUCGGGAGAAUCCAACAAGACGACAACUGGUCAGCCUUUCCGGGCCUUGCUCAGGCUGGAUUUGAACUUAUGAUCCUCCUGCUUCAACUUCCUAUAUUGCUGGAAUUACAGGGAGUACAGAUCCUUCAGCUGGUUGACAGAGAUCCUUCAGCAUCACUGAAGAGAGCUCACUGCUGAUCCCAGCUGUCUGGUCCCUGGUGAGCAGCAGUGACUGGCAGGGAGCCCAAAUGUGUAUCAAACUAUUGC